rfam:Salmo salar isolate Sally breed double haploid chromosome ssa20, whole genome shotgun sequence.
UGGGAAAAAACAUGUAAGUUCCUCUGGAUAAGAGCGUCUGCUAAAUGACUAAAA